UUCAUACGGAGAGUUCAUGACAUUUUGUUUCUUUGCUUCUGUGGAUCACUUAAACGGGAUUAGGACCAGUGGAUGAGCUGACUUGAACCUCGCCAGAUUAAAUUCAUUUACACUGAUUUCAUUUAUAUUUUCUCUGCCAAGUGAAGUGAUUAAUAUUGUUACUGAUGCUGGAUUUAAUGUGUCUGACACACACAUUAUUUUGUGAUGUUUUAUCAGGUGAUGUGAUCAGUAUCCACUCAUCUAAUCAACUGGAAGGAAUAUUCACAGCCAGGUCAAAACUGUCGAAGCUUUGUGAUUCUGUAUUUUACUGCGACAUGGUGUGGACCAUGUCGUUUUAUGGCCCUGUUUACAAUAGCUUAGCUGAACAGAAUCGGAAUGUCGUAUUCCUUAAACUGGACGUUGAUGAACUAGGCAGUUUUACGGAUAUCUCGCAAACACCGUAGAUUAUUACCUUUUGUAUAGCGUCGUGUGGAGUAGCAAACUUGGGUUCAGAACCUUUGUGUUGUGAAAAACUGUUAUAGUAGGAGAUUCAGACUUCGUAUUCAUUAUGACUUUUAACUGCCUUUACAUUCAGUUUGCACAUGUUUUGUAUUUGCAGUUAUGGCUUCCAUUUGAUGAUCACUCCGAUGCUGAGGCUCUAACUAUUGAGCGCACAAAUGCAUUCCAUGUUUCCCUUUGUAGGAGCAAUCCUUUUGCGUGCCCUAUUGGUUGAAAGGAGGUCGGUGGCGUUCGAGCGGACUGUGUCUACUGUGCACACGAGGAGGCGGCGGCGGCGAGUGCGGGCGAGUCAGGUCGUGUGGACGUAGGGAACUUGAUGGCCCUCUGGUUUGUAUUCUCCACCUGUGCCAUUUUGUUAAAACAGAAUUAUGUACGAGAUGUGUAAACAAACUUACCGAGAAUGUUAGAUUUUAUUUCUAUUGCUAGGCCCUCACGUCCAACUGUCAGCUCCCAGUUCUUCUUACUCGUAAUAAGCAAAGGGCUAUGUCGUUCAAUAGUCUCCUUCGUGCAUGAAGGCAUGUUAUCAAACAUUCGUGCAUGAUAAGGGUUGAUUCAUUGGAGAUCAAAUUGUUGGCACGUGUGGUAACAUAUGGUUGAGAUGGUUAGGUGAAUAGUGCUAUCCCCAGCCCACCUGAAACCCCACUUGAACUCUUGCUUAAUGAAACACCUGACUAUUUGUUUCUCAAAGUUUUUGGGUGCACGUGUUGGUUUCUGUGUUCCCUCUCAUAUGCUGAGAAAUAUUUGCUGCUGCUAGACGUUGAUCUAUGAAAUACAAUACUUUUCUUCUUAUCAGAUGUAGCUGCAAUUUGGUUUGAUUGUAUGUCCUCUCUUACUUUCAUUGGUGAUGCUGGCCUUUCUCCACCACUGAAAUGCCAAACCAUUUUCGAGAUUCUCAGGUUAUAUUGUACGUUUGUUUGAGCUAUAAUUUGAAUUUUCCUAUAAAUCAUGAGUUUUACACAUCUGUUUUUAUAGUUUAGACCUGAGUUUUUUAUGCCUAGGUUGUAAAUUUCCUAGUGGUGUACUGAUGUUACAGUUUGCUACUUCGGGGAUGUUCACUAAUUGAUGAGUUGCCGCAGCUCUCUACCUUCUAUGUGAAUGGCAACAAUUGUUGAUGAAUUUACAGUAGCAAUAGAGUGGACAUUGGAGUUACAAUGUAAUUUGCAUGAUUUCUACUUGUAAGUCACAGUACAUCUUGUGUUGCUUCCAAGGUGUUCACUAAUUCAUGAGUUAUUGCCGCUCUCUA